rnacentral:rRNA from 1 species
GAGGAAUAUUGGUCAAUGGAGGAAACUCUGAACCAGCCAUCCCGCGUGAAGGAUGAAUGCCCUAGUGGUUGUAAACUUCUUUUAUAUAGGAAUAAACCUGAGUACGUGUACUCAGCUGAAGGUACUAUAUGAAUAAGCAUCGGCUAACUCCGUGCCAGCAGCCGCGGUAAUACGGAGGAUGCAAGCGUUAUCCGGAUUUAUUGGGUUUAAAGGGUCCGCAGGCGGACCAAUAAGUCAGUGGUGAAAGCCCACAGCUCAACUGUGGAAUUGCCAUUGAUACUGUUGGUCUUGAGUGUGGUUGAAGUGGGCGGAAUAUGACAUGUAGCGGUGAAAUGCAUAGAGAUGUCAUA